rnacentral:rRNA from 1 species
UAACCGGGCGUUAAGUUGCAGGGUAUAGACCCGAAACCCGGUGAUCUAGCCAUGGGCAGGUUGAAGGUUGGGUAACACUAACUGGAGGACCGAACCGACUAAUGUUGAAAAAUUAGCGGAUGACCUGUGGCUGGGGGUGAAAGGCCAAUCAAACCGGGAGAUAGCUGGUUCUCCCCGAAAGCUAUUUAGGUAGCGCCUCGUGAAUUCAUCUCCGGGGGUAGAGCACUGUUUCGGCUAGGGGGCCAUCCCGGCUUACCAACCCGAUGCAAACUGCGAAUACCGGAGAAUGUUAUCACGGGAGACACACGGCGGGUGCUAACGUCCGUCGUGAAGAGGGAAACAACCCAGACCGCCAGCUAAGGUCCCAAAGUCAUGGUUAAGUGGGAAACGAUGUGGGAAGGCCCAGACAGCCAGGAUGUUGGCUUAGAAGCAGCCAUCAUUUAAAGAAAGCGUAAUAGCUCACUGGUCGAGUCGGCCUGCGCGGAAGAUGUAACGGGGCUAAACCAU